rnacentral:rRNA from 3 species
UGCUGGAGGUAUCAGAAGUGCGAAUGCUGACAUAAGUAACGAUAAAGCGGGUGAAAAGCCCGCUCGCCGGAAGACCAAGGGUUCCUGUCCAACGUUAAUCGGGGCAGGGUGAGUCGACCCCUAAGGCGAGGCCGAAAGGCGUAGUCGAUGGGAAACGGGUUAAUAUUCCCGUACUUGGUGUUACUGCGAAGGGGGGACGGAGAAGGCUAUGUUGGCCGGGCGACGGUUGUCCCGGUUUAAGCGUGUAGGUGUGUGUUCCAGGUAAAUCCGGUUCACUUUAACACUGAGGCGUGAUGACGAGGCACUACGGUGCUGAAGCAACAAAUGCCCUGCUUCCAGGAAAAGCCUCUAAGCAUCAGGUAACAUCAAAUCGUACCCCAAACCGACACAGGUGGUCAGGUAGAGAAUACCAAGGCGCUUGAGAGAACUCGGGUGAAGGAACUAGGCAAAAUGGUGCCGUAACUUCGGGAGAAGGCACGCUGACACGUAGGUGAAGUGAUUUACUCAUGGAGCUGAAGUCAGUCGAAGAUACCAGCUGGCUGCAACUGUUUAUUAAAAACACAGCACUGUGCAAACACGAAAGUGGACGUAUACGGUGUGACGCCUGCCCGGUGCCGGAAGGUUAAUUGAUGGGGUCAGCGCAAGCGAAGCUCCUGAUCGAAGCCCCGGUAAACGGCGGCCGUAACUAUAACGGUCCUAAGGUAGCGAAAUUCCUUGUCGGGUAAGUUCCGACCUGCACGAAUGGCGUAAUGAUGGCCAGGCUGUCUCCACCCGAGACUCAGUGAAAUUGAACUCGCUGUGAAGAUGCAGUGUACCCGCGGCAAGACGGAAAGACCCCGUGAACCUUUACUAUAGCUUGACACUGAACAUUGAGCCUUGAUGUGUAGGAUAGGUGGGAGGCUUUGAAGUGUGGACGCCAGUCUGCAUGGAGCCGACCUUGAAAUACCACCCUUUAAUGUUUGAUGUUCUAACGUGGACCCGUGAUCCGGGUUGCGGACAGUGUCUGGUGGGUAGUUUGACUGGGGCGGUCUCCUCCUAAAGAGUAACGGAGGAGCACGAAGGUUGGCUAAUCCUGGUCGGACAUCAGGAGGUUAGUGCAAUGGCAUAAGCCAGCUUGACUGCGAGCGUGACGGCGCGAGCAGGUGCGAAAGCAGGUCAUAGUGAUCCGGUGGUUCUGAAUGGAAGGGCCAUCGCUCAACGGAUAAAAGGUACUCCGGGGAUAACAGGCUGAUACCGCCCAAGAGUUCAUAUCGACGGCGGUGUUUGGCACCUCGAUGUCGGCUCAUCACAUCCUGGGGCUGAAGUAGGUCCCAAGGGUAUGGCUGUUCGCCAUUUAAAGUGGUACGCGAGCUGGGUUUAGAACGUCGUGAGACAGUUCGGUCCCUAUCUGCCGUGGGCGCUGGAGAACUGAGGGGGGCUGCUCCUAGUACGAGAGGACCGGAGUGGACGCAUCACUGGUGUUCGGGUUGUCAUGCCAAUGGCACUGCCCGGUAGCUAAAUGCGGAAGAGAUAAGUGCUGAAAGCAUCUAAGCACGAAACUUGCCCCGAGAUGAGUUCUCCCUGAGACUUUAAGUCUCCUGAAGGAACGUUGAAGACGACGACGUUGAUAGGCCGGGUGUGUAAGCGCAGCGAUGCGUUGAGCUAACCGGUACUAAUGAACCGUGAGGCUUAACCUUACAACGCCGAAG